UGCAGCAACGCCGCGUGAGGGAUGACGGCCUUCGGGUUGUAAACCUCUUUUAGUAGGGAAGAAGCGAAAGUGACGGUACCUGCAGAAAAAGCACCGGCUAACUACGUGCCAGCAGCCGCGGUAAUACGUAGGGUGCAAGCGUUGUCCGGAAUUAUUGGGCGUAAAGAGCUCGUAGGCGGUUUGUCGCGUCUGCUGUGAAAUCCCGAGGCUCAACCUCGGGCUUGCAGUGGGUACGGGCAGACUAGAGUGCGGUAGGGGAGAUUGGAAUUCCUGGUGUAGCGGUGGAAUGCGCAGAUAUCAGGAGGAACACCGAUGGCGAAGGCAGAUCUCUGGGCCGUAACUGACGCUGAGGAGCGAAAGCAUGGGGAGCGAACAGGAUUAGAUACCCUGGUAGUCCAUGCCGUAAACGUUGGGCGCUAGAUGUAGGGACCUUUCCACGGUUUCUGUGUCGUAGCUAACGCAUUAAGCGCCCCGCCUGGGGAGUACGGCCGCAAGGCUAAAACUCAAAGGAAUUGACGGGGGCCCGCACAAGCGGCGGAGCAUGCGGAUUAAUUCGAUGCAACGCGAAGAACCUUACCAAGGCUUGACAUACACCGGAACGGCCAGAGAUGGUCGCCCCCUUGUGGUCGG
rnacentral:rRNA from 1 species